rnacentral:tRNA from 1 species
GGGGCUGUAGCUCAGUGGUAGAGUGCCCGCCUUGCAUGUGUGAGGCAUUGGGUUCGAUCCCAAUACCA